rnacentral:misc_RNA from 1 species
GUCAUAACCUCCAUAUGACAGUGUGUACUGCACCUGCGUUCGAGGUCUCUUUGGGCCAUUGCCAAAUCCACCCCCUGUAAAGUUGGCCUUGCCAUCAACCCAUACAGGUGAAAUCUUUCCAAAAGGAGAAGAACUAGAGUUGUUUCUGUUACGAUGUGGCAAACCUCCUGGGCCUGAAGGGUUGGGACUCUGGACCAUGCGAUCACCCGUUCCAGUAAUAUUAGAGCUCCGUACCACAUCACUUGUAACGGUAUGGUUUGGGCUGGAAAUCAGGUCAUUGCCUGUAUUCAGACUCAAAUGAGACUCCUCUCCCA